UGUGUAGGUGGUUGUGUUAGUCUCUCGUCAAAUUCUCCGAGCUCAACUCGGAGAUCGCGAGGGAAACGGCACGACUACGAGGGUGUACGAGGCGAGUGGAACUCACGGUGUAGGGGUGAAAUCCGUUGAUAUCGUGGGGAACACCAUAGGCGAAGGCGACUCGCUGGGACAUACCUGACACUGAAACACGAAAGCGUGGGGAGCGAACG
rnacentral:rRNA from 1 species